UACGGAGGGGGCUAGCGUUGUUCGGAAUUACUGGGCGUAAAGCGCGCGUAGGCGGAUAUUUAAGUUAGAGGUGAAAGCCCAGGGCUCAACCCUGGAAUAGCCUUUAAUACUGGAUAUCUUGAGUUCGGGAGAGGUGAGUGGAACUCCGAGUGUAGAGGUGAAAUUCGUAGAUAUUCGGAAGAACACCAGUGGCGAAGGCGACUCACUGGCCCGAUACUGACGCUGAGGCGCGAAAGCGUGGGGAGCAAACAGG
rnacentral:rRNA from 1 species